AGCGAACGCUGGCGGCAGGCCUAACACAUGCAAGUCGAACGAAGUCUUCGGACUUAGUGGCGGACGGGUGAGUAACACGUGGGAACGUGCCCUUUGGUACGGAAUAACUCAGGGAAACUUGAGCGAAUACCGUGUGUGCCCGUCGGGGGAAAGAUUUAUCGCCAUUGGAGCGGCUCGCGUCUGAGUGGCUAGUUGGUGAGGUAAAGGCUCACCAAGGCGACGAUCAGUAGCUGGUCUGAGAGGAUGAUCAGCCACAUGGGGACUGAGACACGGCCCAAACUCCUACGGGAGGCAGCAGUGGGGAAUCUUGCGCAAUGGGCGAAAGCCUGACGCAGCCAUGCCGCGUGAAUGAUGAAGGUCUUAGGAUUGUAAAAUUCUUUCACCGGGGACGAUAAUGACGGUACCCGGAGAAGAAGCCCCGGCUAACUUCGUGCCAGCCGCCGCCGUAA
rnacentral:rRNA from 1 species